rnacentral:tRNA from 1 species
GCCACUGUAGCUCAGCGGCAGAGCGGCUGAUUCGUAAUCAGCAGGUCGGGGGUUCAAAUCCCUCCAGUGGCU